rnacentral:rRNA from 1 species
UACGAAGGGGGCUAGCGUUGCUCGGAAUCACUGGGCGUAAAGCGCACGUAGGCGGACUCUUAAGUCAGGGGUGAAAUCCUGGAGCUCAACUCCAGAACUGCCUUUGAUACUGAGAGCCUUGAGUUCGGGAGAGGUGAGUGGAACUGCGAGUGUAGAGGUGAAAUUCGUAGAUAUUCGCAAGAACACCAGUGGCGAAGGCGGCUCACUGGCCCGGUACUGACGCUGAGGUGCGAAAGCGUGGGGAGCAACAGG